rnacentral:rRNA from 1 species
GUAGGUGGCAAGCGUUGUCCGGAAUUAUUGGGCGUAAAGCGCGCGCAGGCGGUUCUUUAAGUCUGAUGUGAAAGCCCACGGGCUCAACCGUGGAGGGUCAUUGGAAACUGGAGAACUUGAGUACAGAAGAGGAAAGCGGAAUUCCACGUGUAGCGGUGAAAUGCGUAGAGAUGUGGAGGAACACCAGUGGCGAAGGCGGCUUUCUGGUCUGUAACUGACGCUGAGGCGCGAAAGCGUGGGGAGCAAACAGGAUUAGAUACCCUGGUAGUCCACGCCGUAAACGAUGAGUGCUAAGUGUUAGGGGGUUUCCGCCCCUUAGUGCUGCAGCUAACGCAUUAAGCACUCCGCCUGGGGAGUACGGCCGCAAGGCUA